GUCAGGUGGGCAGUUUGACUGGGGCGGUCGCCUCCCAAACGGUAACGGAGGCGCUCAAAGGUUCUCUCAGUACGGUCGGAAAUCGUACGUAGAGUGUAAAGGCAAAAGAGAGCUUGAUUGCAAGACAUACAGGUCGAGCAAGGAUGAAAAUCGGACUUAGUGAUCCGGUGGUUCUGCGUGGAAGGGCCAUCGCUCAACGGAUAAAAGCUACCCUGGGGAUAACAGGCUUAUCGCCCCCAAGAGUCCACAUCGACGGGGAGGUUUGGCACCUCGAUGUCGGCUCAUCACAUCCUGGGGCU
rnacentral:rRNA from 1 species